AAGACUAUAGACCUGCGGAGUACCUGCGGAAGGAUCAUCAAAGAUUCGUGCUUUAUCCGACACCUGUGGCCUGUUGUUGUUUGUUGGCAGCGUGAGCCCAAGGCUGAGCUUGGCUUGGCUAGCGGCUCGCGCCGCCAUCAUCCAUCAUCUUUUCAUACACACACCUCGAACCUCUAUUUGAAACAAAAACAAAAAACACAACUUUCAACAACGGAUCUCU
rnacentral:misc_RNA from 1 species